rnacentral:rRNA from 1 species
UUGAUGUAACGGGGCUCAAACCAUGCACCGAAGCUACGGGUAUCACUUUUAGUGAUGCGGUAGAGGAGCGUUCUGUAAGCCUGUGAAGGUGAGUUGAGAAGCUUGCUGGAGGUAUCAGAAGUGCGAAUGCUGACAUGAGUAACGACAAUGGGUGUGAAAAACACCCACGCCGAAAGACCAAGGUUUCCUGCGCAACGUUAAUCGACGCAGGGUUAGUCGGUCCCUAAGGCGAGGCUGAAAAGCGUAGUCGAUGGAAAACAGGUUAAUAUUCCUGUACUUCUGGUUAUUGCGAUGGAGGGACGGAGAAGGCUAGGCCAGCUUGGCGUUGGUUGUCCAAGUUUAAGGUGGUAGGCUGAGAUCUUAGGUAAAUCCGGGAUCUUAAGGCCGAGAGCUGAUGACGAGUGUCCUUUAGGACACGAAGUGGUUGAUGCCAUGCUUCCAAGAAAAGCUUCUAAGCUUCAGGUAACCAGGAACCGUACCCCAAACCGACACAGGUGGUUGGGUAGAGAAUACCAAGGCGCUUGAGAGAACUCGGGUGAAGGAACUAGGCAAAAUGGCACCGUAACUUCGGGAGAAGGUGCGCCGGUGAGGGUGAAGCAUUUACUGCGUAAGCCCACGCCGGUCGAAGAUACCAGGCCGCUGCGACUGUUUAUUAAAAACACAGCACUCUGCAAACACGAAAGUGGACGUAUAGGGUGUGACGCCUGCCCGGUGCCGGAAGGUUAAUUGAUGGGGUUAGCUAACGCGAAGCUCUUGAUCGAAGCCCCGGUAAACGGCGGCCGUAACUAUAACGGUCCUAAGGUAGCGAAAUUCCUUGUCGGGUAAGUUCCGACCUGCACGAAUGGCGUAACGAUGGCGGCGCUGUCUCCACCCGAGACUCAGUGAAAUUGAAAUCGCUGUGAAGAUGCAGUGUAUCCGCGGCUAGACGGAAAGACCCCGUGAACCUUUACUAUAGCUUUGCACUGGACUUUGAAUUUGCUUGUGUAGGAUAGGUGGGAGGCUUUGAAGCGUGGACGCCAGUCUGCGUGGAGCCAACCUUGAAAUACCACCCUGGCAACUUUGAGGUUCUAACUCAGGUCCGUUAUCCGGAUCGAGGACAGUGUAUGGUGGGUAGUUUGACUGGGGCGGUCUCCUCCUAAAGAGUAACGGAGGAGUACGAAGGUGCGCUCAGACCGGUCGGAAAUCGGUCGUAGAGUAUAAAGGCAAAAGCGCGCUUGACUGCGAGACAGACACGUCGAGCAGGUACGAAAGUAGGUCUUAGUGAUCCGGUGGUUCUGUAUGGAAGGGCCAUCGCUCAACGGAUAAAAGGUACUCCGGGGAUAACAGGCUGAUACCGCCCAAGAGUUCAUAUCGACGGCGGUGUUUGGCACCUCGAUGUCGGCUCAUCACAUCCUGGGGCUGAAGCCGGUCCCAAGGGUAUGGCUGUUCGCCAUUUAAAGUGGUACGCGAGCUGGGUUUAGAACGUCGUGAGACAGUUCGGUCCCUAUCUGCCGUGGACGUUUGAGAUUUGAGAGGGGCUGCUCCUAGUACGAGAGGACCGGAGUGGACGAACCUCUGGUGUUCCGGUUGUCACGCCAGUGGCAUUGCCGGGUAGCUAUGUUCGGAAUAGAUAACCGCUGAAGGCAUCUAAGCGGGAAACUAGCCUCAAGAUGAGAACUCACUGGAACCUUGAGUUCCCUGAAGGGCCGUCGAAGACUACGACGUUGAUAGGUGGGGUGUGUAAGCGCUGUGAGGCGUUGAGCUAACCCAUACUAAUUGCCCGUGAGGCUUGACC